CUGGAGGAGCCGUGGAGUACCGCAAGCCCCGCGGCUGCCCACAGAACGCGUGGACCGCCGAGCACACAGAUGGAGCCUGUGUUUGUGUACUUGGACCAGCCUCCUUGGCAGACAAGUCAAGUCCCUGUGACCUGCAGUUCCCCAGCUGGUGCUCUUUUCAGCCUUGCCUGUUAGGCACUGUUUCCCUGGAAGGGUGAGUUGCCAGUGCCAGCCCACCAUCAGCUGCCUGUGCCUGGAUUCGCAUCAGUGGUGGCACCAGGCAGUUGCUGCCAGCCUUGUGUCCUAAGAGUGAGCUGCCUACCUGUGGACAGAUGAGGGAAACCUUGGCCUUGGGCCCUGUGCCCAGGAAAUUCCAGAGCAGGUGUCAUGGAGAGACUAUGUGGAGCUCUUGUCAUCUCGGGCUAGUUCUUCUCCCAUCCUCCAGAUGCUGCCUCAUCGAGGUGGUGCAUGUCCAUUCACCAUGAGGUCCCUUGCCGCCUUCUGUCAUGUCCUUGUAUGAGGAAUGUGCAACCCUGAAGGAUGUGUAGAAGACAUUGGAGUUGUCCUGCUGUUGAUCGAGACCCCUUGCUGUGCUGCUGUGGUGUGGCAUGGGGAAGAUCCGGGUCUAGAACAUGGGGUACAGUGAGGACCUGAUAACAUGCCUAGUGAAUCCCUCACUGCGCUCUUAGACAGGGUAGGCAAAUCCACAUGCCGUCAAGUACAAGCACAUUCAUCUCAUGGCCCAUGGAAAGAAACAGAAGUAUCCACAUGGGACGGUCUUGAGGGGAAGUUGCCUGGCAGGCCUAUCUUCGCCUGGGCAUAUGUGGUUCCCGAUGACCAGAAGUGUCAUGGAAUCCUGCAAGCCUCAUGUCCUCCCAGUGAUCUCCAGCCUGGUGUCUGAUUGAGGGUGGGUGUUGCUGGGACCACUGCCUGCCAGCUACCUGUGUCUGGUACCUUAGUGCUGGAUGCAGUGAGAAGUUGCUGCACAUCUUGUGUUUUGCCAGUGAGCUCUGUACCUAUGAAUGGUUGAGGAAGAUCCAGCGCAUUGCCGCAGGCGGGGGCUGCAGGAGCAGGCCUCCCCUUGGAGGAUGGUCAUGUUCUUUUGCCACCCAGUGGUCUGAGGCUGGUCAAGUGCACAUCUCCAGGGGCCUGAAGGUCAGGUUUUCAGUGGAGUGAGCCUGGCUAGGGGGAGUUGCCCUGCAUGCAUGCCUUCUGCUCAUGUUCCUGGUUCCUGGGCAUCUGGAGGGCUACAAGCCUUGUGUCCUCCUGAUGAGCUCCUGGCCUGUGGAUGGUUCAGGAUGGUAUAUUUGACUCUACUAUGCAAGGAAUAAGAGAGGAAUAUGGAUCUUACAGAACAGGUAGUAUUGCUGUGUGACCAAUUCCAGGGACAAAAGGGAGGACUAGUGUGUCCUGAGGUCCCCAGUGAAGUCAGCAAACCCUGGGACACCUGGCUGAUGAAUGACUGAUGGUGGUAGCGUCGCUAUGUGAUGGACUCCAAAGACCUAUUGGGAAGACCUGUGUAUCUUCGGAUCCCCAUAGAGCGUGCCUGUGUUUCUUCUGCAUUUCCCAGUUGGCACUGCCAUAUGAGGGACUUCAGGGAUCUAGAGAGAAGAACUGUGCAUCCUGAGGUCCUCAGAGAAGCCGACGAGUCCUCAAAUGCUUGUGGAUUGACUUAUUUGGGGUAGCAGUGGAUGUUUGAUGAAGCACUUCACAUAUGGCAGAUUCCAGAGUCAUAGUGUGAAGAUCUGCACACCCCGAGAGUCCCAGAGAGCUCCACAGACUGCAGUGCUGUUAAGGGGCUGCUUUUGAAUGAAGAUGAAGAAUACCAGAAUUCCCUGGAAUGUCAUCGCCAAACCAGUGAAGUUCUGAUUUUUGUCACCUUCAUCUGUGAAGGAACAAAACAGUGUACUCUUAGGGUAAAAGAAGACAGAACUGGGCUUCGUAUGGAUAAAUUUCUUCUUUCCUUUCUGUUGUGACACAAAGGAAAGGAUAAGGAGAAAUUCACUCUCAAUCUCAAGAUUCAAGGGGAGUUCUUGUAUGGUGAAGAUAGAGCCCAGAAAAGAGGGGCAGUUGUUCAGGCUCUUACAUUAACUCCCAAAUGUUAGUUCCAGAACAUGAGUAGCAACUUACUUUCCAGUCAGACUGUCCACUCCUCUGGUCUCUUGGACUGUCUUGCAGAAAGUGACUUCCUGGGAGGUCUGGGAAUCACUGCUACCAGUAAAUCCUUGAAAGAAGAUUACUCAUAAAACUCUUCACCUGCAAACCCUCUGAAGGUGACAGUUACAGUGACAGAUGGGGUGAUAAGUUACAGUUGGUGCUGUUCCUCCUACCGCCAUCUUCACCGAAACAGUGACAGUUUUCCUUUGCAUGGAGCGUCCUUCCUUCCUGCGUGGCAGCGGAUACCUUCUGCAGAUAAGAAAUGCUUAACUGAGAAAUGCUCAUGUUGGGAUGUCAUCGAUGAGACCUUAAUUUGGGCAUGGUGACUGUUUCCCUUGCUGCCACUUGACUCAAUCCCAGGAGCCUCAGUAGAGGAAAUAAUAAUGCACAAGAAGCUCAAAAUGGUGGAAUUUCUCAGUGCUCCUAUACAUUUAUAAUUUUUAUUUGCCAUGUUGGAUAAAUUUUAAAAUAGCAUAUAUUUAAAGAAACUGCAUGAUUUUUUUUCCCAAAAUUCAAAGCAUAUCCAAACAAUUGACAUAUAAAUUGGUUCCCUGCUCUCUUUCAAUUCUAUAGUUUUCCUCUGUUAAGGGAGGUGUGUGCAUUCUUUUAAUGGAUAGAUGUGCACAUGCUAUUUUUGGGAGGGGGUCUAGAAGUGGGUCCAUCUUGUAAUACAUUCGUCUGCAAAUUACUGCCUUCAUUUAUCAGUCUUUUCAGUGGGCAUUUUCUAAUAUAUACACAUCUGUGUCAUUUGUUGAGUGACUGCAUAACUGUUUUGUAGAUGAAAUAUAAUUAAAUGUUUUAAGCAUUUCUCAUUCAUAGAUGUUUAUGUUAGCACCAAAUUUCUGUGCAAUGAACCUCCCUACAUAUCAACAAUUCUGCUUUGUCAAUGAUAUCAUAAUAAAAUUCCUCAGCAGUUGAAUUACUGGGAUUAAGGGUGUGCACGCUUCAAAUUUUGAGAAUUAUUGCAAGAUUUCCUUUAAAAUAUGUUUAAUAACUUUAAUGGCAAUGAAUGAGAUUGCCAAAUUUCUCACAACCUCACAGAUAAAUGGAUUUUAUAAAUAUUUAAAAUCUUUGCCAGUGCAAUCGCCCAAACUAUUGUCUUAAAUUGUAUUUCUUUUGUUUUUGAGUUUGAUCAUUUUUUCAUGUUUAUUAGCCAUCUGUAUUUUUUAAUUUCUUCUUUAUGUCCAAUUUUGGGGGUAUGGGGAGGUUUUAGUCUCAGAUUUCAAAAAGCACAUUUAUUAUUGGUAAAAUAAGUUUUGGAUUGUUAAUCAUUACAGAUAUUUUUACACACUUUUAAACUUUGUUUUUGUUAUAAGAAUGUGUAUGGUUGUUAUAUGUUCAAGUAUAACCAUGUUCACUUUUAUGGCUUCUAAGUUCCAUGUCAUUUUUGGAAAGAUAUUUAUACUGAGUCCAUAAAAUCCUUCACCUAUGUUAA